rnacentral:rRNA from 1 species
AUGUGCCCGGCGAGGAUUUCUGUGCUGCGCCUCAGCAUUCUCCCUCUCUCCCUCUGCUCCCUUCCUCCCUGCUCAGCGUGCCCGCUCUCGCCUCCGCACCGCUUCCCUUCGUGCAUCUCACCGGCGACCAUGGCCAAGGAGAAGACGGCGGCGCUGGAGCGUGCCAAGAAGGCGUCGGCAUCGGAGAAGGCGAAGGGGAGAUCCACCAGCCGCAGAGGAUCCUCGUCCAGAUCCCGCCUGCCGAAAGGCUGGGUCCAAGGCGACUGGAUCCAGUCGACCAUCACGGAGAAGGACCUCCUCGACAUGGCUAACGAGGGCUUGAUCCCUCACGGAGCUGCGAGGUUGCCGGGGAAGGAGUGGCAGCCACAGCCAGAAGAGGGUGAGUGUGUGCUUCUGGCCACUCAUGUCGAUCGGGGGUUUUCCUUGCCACCAAGCAUUUUCUUCCGCGGUUUCUUGAAUUUCUUUGGAGCACAGCUCCAUCACUUUACUCCAAACUCCAUUGCCUAUCUCGCUGCAUUCGUGUCCAUGUGUGAGGGUUUCUUGGGUUGUCGACCGCACUGGGGCUUGUUCAAACGUAUCUUCACGUGUCGCUCUCAGACCGUGAAGAAGGCGAGCCCAGGUGACGAGAAGACCCGAGUCGUCCAAAUGUGUGGGGGCUUGGGAAUUCAGGUGAGGAACAAUAGCACCUUCCCGCCCAUGUCCUUUCCCGAGUCCGUCAGGGGCUGGCAGUCGACUUGGUUCUACUGCCAGGUCCAGUCGACGCCAGGGCAGUCGAGUGGACUCCCUCCGUUUUCCAUGGACCGAGUGAGCAAGCCCUCCCCUCUGAAGCUGAUUCCGGAGGAGAAAGCCGACGUGAAGAUGUUGAUGGAGCGCGUGGUGCAGCUGGUUCGGGACGGUGUGACAGGCAUGGACCUCCUGGAGGUUUUC